AUGAGCUUCACCAAUCACUCUACUUCCUCCACCAACUACCAGGCCCUGGGCUCUGUCCAGGUGCCCUGCUAAAACAUCUGGCUGGUCAGCAGCGUGGUCACCGUCUAUGCAGGUGCUGGGGGCUCUGGUUUCCGCAUCUCUGUGUCUUGCUCCACCAGCUUCUGGGGUGGCAUGGAGUCCAGGGGCCUGGCCGCAGGGAUGACCAGGACUCUGGCAGGAAUGGGAGGCAUCCAGAACAAGAAGGAGACCAUACAAAACCUGAGUGACCGCCUGGCCUCCUACCUGGCCAGAGUGAGGAGCCUGGAGGCCAAGAACUAGAAGCUGGAGAGCAAAAUAUGGGAGCACCUGGAGAAGAAGGGACCUCGGGUCAGAGACUGGAGCCAUUACUUCAAGACCAUUGAGGACCUGAGGGCUCAGAUCUUCACAAAUACUGUGGACAAUGCCCACAUUGUUCUGCAGAUAGACAACACUCAACUUUGCUGCUGAUGACUUUAGAGUCAAGUAUGAGACACAGCUGGUCAUGUGUCAGUCUGGGAAGGGUGACAUCCAUGGGCUCCGCAAGGUCAUUGAUGACACCAAUGUCAUUUGGCUGCAGCUGGAGACAAGGAUCGAGGCUCUUAAGGAGGAGCUGCUCUUCAUGAAGAAGAACCAUGAAGAGGAAGUAAAAGGCCUGCAAGCUUAGAUUGCCAGCUCUGGGUUGACCGUGGAGGUAGAUGCCCUCAAAUCUCAGGACCUUGCCAAGAUCAUGGCAGAUAUCUGGACCCAAUAUGACAAGCUUCCUUCGAAGAACCAAGAGAAGCUGGACAAGUACUGGUCUCAGCAGACUGAGGAGAGCACCACAGUGGUCACCAUGCAGUCUGCCGAGGUUGGAGCUGCUGAGAUGACACUCACAGAGCUGAAACAUACGGUCCAGUCCUUGGAGAUCAACCUGGACUCCAUGAGAAAUCUAAAGGCCAGCUUGGAGCACAGCCUGAGGGAGGUGGAGGCCUGCUACACCCUGCAGAUGGAGCAGCUCAACAGGAUCCUGCUGCACCUGGAAUCAGAGCUCCCACAGACCCGGGCAGAGGGACAGCACCAGGUACAGGAGUAGGAGGCCUUGCCAAACAUCAAGGUCAAGCUGGAGGAUGAGAUCGCCACCUACCGUCGCCUGCUGGAAGAUGGCGAGGACUUCAAUCUUGGUGAUGUCCUGGACAAGCAGCAACUCCAUGCAAAUCAUCCAAAAGACCACCAUCCGCUGGACAGUGGAUGGCAAAGUGGUGUCUGAGACCAACGAAACCAAAGUUCUGAGACAUUAA